GACGAACGCUGGCGGCGUGGAUUAGGCAUGCAAGUCGAACGGUAUCAUCCUUUCGGGGGUGAGAGAGUGGCGAACUGGUGAGUAACACGUAGGUUAUCUACCCUCAAGACGGGGACAACCCAGGGAAACUUGGGCUAAUACCGGAUGUGAGCAACUUUUAGUUGUUUGAAAGGUGGCGUAAGCUGUCGCUUGGGGAUGAGCCUGCGUCCUAUUAGUUAGUUGGUGAGGUAACGGCUCACCUAGGCAAUGAUAGGUAGGCGGCCUUAACGGGUGGUCGCCCACACUGGGAUUGAGAUACGGCCCAGACUCCUACGGGAGGCAGCAGUCGAGAAUAGUCUACAAUGGUCGGAAGACUGAUAGUGCGACGCCGCGUGAACGAUGAAUCCCUUCGGGGUGUAAAGUUCUUUUAUAUGUGAGCAGUGCUUCUUAUAUUAACAGUAUGGGGAGAGAGAUAUUAGCAUAUGAAUAAGCAACGGCUAACCCCGUGCCAGCAGCCGCGGUAAAAUCACG
rnacentral:rRNA from 1 species